GAUCCUGGCUCAGGAUGAACGCUAGCUACAGGCUUAACACAUGCAAGUCGAGGGGAAACGGACAUCGAAAGCUUGCUUUUGAUGGGCGUCGACCGGCGCACGGGUGAGUAACGCGUAUCCAACCUGCCCAUCACUUGGGAAUAACCUUGCGAAAGUAAGACUAAUGCCCAAUGACAUCCCACGAAGGCAUCCGAACGGGAUUAAAGAUUUAUCGGUGAUGGAUGGGGAUGCGUCUGAUUAG
rnacentral:rRNA from 1 species